rnacentral:rRNA from 1 species
GGACAACCUGCCCUUAGGUUGGGUAUAAACCCGGGAAACUGGGUAUAAUACCCGAUAGGUCUCGAUUGCUGGAAUGCAUCGAGAUUUAAAGCUCCGGCGCCUAAGGAUGGGUCUGCGGCCUAUCAGGUAGUAGUGGGUGUAGCGUACCUACUAGCCUACGACGGGUACGGGUUGUGAGAGCAAGAGCCCGGAGAUGGAUUCUGAGACACGAAUCCAGGCCCUACGGGGUGCAGCAGGCGCGAAAACUUUACAAUGCUGGCAACAGCGAUAAGGGAACCUCGAGUGCCAGGUUACAAAUCUGGCUGUCGAGAUGCCUAAAAAGCAUUUCAUAGCAAGGGCCGGGCAAGACCGGUGCCAGCCGCCGCGGUAACACCGGCGGCUCGAGUGGUAACCGUUAUUAUUGGGUCUAAAGGGUCUGUAGCCGGCCGGAUAAGUCUCUUGAGAAAUCUGGCAGCUUAACUGUCAGGCUUUCAGGAGAUACUGUCUGGCUCGAGGCCGGGAGAGGUGAGAGGUACUUCAGGGGUAGGGGUGAAAUCUUGUAAUCCUUGAAGGACCACCAGUGGCGAAGGCGUCUUACCAGAACGGGUCCGACGGUGAGGGACGAAAGCUGGGGGCACGAACCGGAUUAGAUACCCGGGUAGUCCCAGCUGUAAACUAUGCUCGCUAGGUGUCAGGGACGGUGCGACCGUUUCUGGUGCCGCAGGGAAGCCGUGAAGCGAGCCACCUGGGAAGUACGGCCGCAAGGCUGAAACUUAA